UGAUUCAGGCUAGUGGUUUGACGGGGCCAAUUCCUCGUGGCAUUUCUCUUUUGACAAAUUUAACUGACUUGAGAAUUACGGACUUGAGUGGGCCUGAAGCAACAUUUCCCCCACUUGAGAAGAUGAAAGACAUGAAGACACUGAUGUUGAGGAGUUGCAAUAUUGUUGGACAGCUACCUCCAUAUCUCGGGGACCUGACGAAGUUGAAAA